CCCGUCCGGCUGCAGACCUCACUGCUCAUUCCGGUAGGCGGGCGCAGCGGCGGCCGGUGUGGUCAGAACUCGGGCGGAGGCAGGGCCGGUGCCGCAGGACUGGGGCGGGCGGCGAGCGGGCGGCGAGCGGGCGGCCAGGGCAGGGCGUCAGUCCGGUGCAGACUGCGGGGCCGACUUUCGGGCCGCGGGAGCAGGAACGGAAGGCGGGGCGGGGCGGACCGGGGAGGAGGCGGACUGGGGCGCCACCGGCUUCUGAGGGGCGGCUCGCCCCCUUCCGGCCCGGGGCUGGUCGGCGGGGCCGCGGGGGCAGGGCGGGCUGCGUGUCGGGUCUGGCCCUGCUCUGCGGCCCGCGCUCGGCGUUUCGGGCCUCCGGGCCCCUCCGGGCCGCGCGUCCGCCCAGGGACUGCGGGUCUGGCCUCCAGGUGUGGACCUAGCAGCGCCCUGUAGCCUUCUUAAGCGCUGACAUCUGCGAAGGGCUUUGUAUUGUAAACUCAGUCAGAGCGCGUCGUAGUCCCGGAAGCGCUUUGACAUCCCCGAAGUAGCGCUGUGCAAACUGAAGCGCUUGGUAAUCGCGGAAGCACGUUGUGGGCUCGGAAACCAAAUCGAACGAAGCCUUUGGUAAAUCCUGGGACCUUCUGGACUUCUCCGAAGCGCUUUGGAAUCGCAGACAUUCGAAGCGCUUUGACAUCUCUGAAACCUUGAGCACUGUGAUGGGCAGUGGAAAGAAGGGGGAAAGGUGCCCAUGGCGUCGGAGAGGCGCAAGGUCAAGUACCACUGGAGCAGCCCUUCGGAGCGGAGUUCCCGCAAGCGCAGCUGCCUCCGGGAGCCCAGUGAUGUGGCCCCCUCCAGCCGGCCAGCUCACAGCUCUGUGUCGCGUUCUGGAGGGGCCAGCAGCCCCAAGCGCAUGAAAACCCAGAAGGAGCAUGGUGUGUCCUGGGGCUCAUCCCGCCGCAGAAGUUCCUCCUCCUCCUCCCAUUCCUCUGGCCCAGGUGUGGGUGGGGCCGUCUCCAAAGGAGGCCUGAAUCAGAGCUCAGGAGAGUUCCUUUCGUCAGGGGGAUCCCCUCUGUGCCCUGCCAGACCUUCUCUAGAAGAAAUGGCUUCUCUCCAGGAGGAAGCCUGCAGCCUUAAGGUUGAUUCCAAAGAUAGUUCUCGUAACCCCAUGGAUUCUGAAUUUGCAGCUGAAGCUGAGGUUCAAAAUGACAUAAUUGAGGAACCAAACAAGGUCCAGAAAAGGCAGAGGGAUAGACUUCGAGACCAAGGCUCUACCAUGAUCUACCUAAAGGCCAUCCAGGGCAUCCUGGGAAAGUCGAUGCCAAAAAGGAAGGGAGAGGCUGCCAUGAAGGCAAAACCCAACACGGCAGAGCGCGCCAGCCACGGAGAGGGGCCAGCCAGGAGUGUCACCACGUGUGCUCCUCAGAAAGAGAAAAAGUCUGCCCCAGAGGUCAGAGCGGAGGAGGAGAAGGAUGUGCCAGAGAAGAGCAGCUUCUGGGACAGGAGAGUGGUGAUAGACCCUCAGGAGAAACCCAGCGAGGAGCCCCUAGGUGGCCGAAGGACGGUCAUUGACAAGCGCUGUCCAGUCCUGGAGUUUUUGGAUGACUCUGACUCGCACGUAAAUGGCCAGAAACCUAAAGACCGGGAGGUGGUGAUGGAGCGCACCUCUUCAGGAAGUGACUGGUCCGACGUGGACGAGAUUUCCACAGUCAGAUUCUCUCAGGAGGAGCCCAUAUCCCUGAAACCCUCAGCGGUUCCAGAGCCUUCUCACUUCCCCACGGAUUACGUCAUGUACCCGGCUCACUUGUACAGCAGUCCCUGGUGUGACUACGCCAGCUACUGGACCAGCGGUCCCAAGACCCCCGGCUACCACUCCGUGGGCAGUGGCGGCAGCGACACGGUGCAGGUGGAGAGGAGCGGCCAGGGCUCUUCCCCCCACUCAACGGUGAGCCCCCAGCACAACUCCAGAGAGCCCCAGUCCGCUGAGGAAGGCAGAUCCCGCAAGUCGCGUUCAUCUCGUUUCUCCAGAAGCUCGGAAGAAGAAGAGGUGAAGGAGAAAAGAACAUUCCGGGAGGACAUGCCACCACGUCCGUGUGGAGGACCCGCAUCUAGCUCCCUGCCCAGGAGCCGUCGGGAGCCCAGGUUGGAGGGUUUCAUCGACACCCAUUGUCACUUGGACAUGCUCUAUUCCAAGCUGUCGUUCAAAGGGAGCUUCACAAAGUUCAGGAAAAUUUACAGCAGCUCCUUCCCUAAGGAGUUUCAGGGCUGCAUCUCCGACUUCUGCGAUCCUCGCACACUGACAGAUGGCCUCUGGGAGGACCUGUUGAAAGAAGAUCUGGUGUGGGGGGCCUUUGGCUGUCACCCCCAUUUUGCACGUUACUACAAUGAGAGUCAAGAAAGAAAUCUUCUGCAGGCCUUAAGGCACCCCAAGGCCGUGGCAUUUGGGGAGAUGGGCUUGGAUUACUCUCACAAGUGCACCACGCCUGUCCCGGAGCAGCACAAGGUGUUUGAGAGGCAGCUGCAGCUGGCCGUGUCUCUCAGGAAACCCUUGGUGAUCCACUGCCGAGAAGCUGAUGACGAUCUGCUGAAAAUCAUGAAGAGAUUUGUGCCUCCGGACUACAAGGUUCACAGGCAUUGCUUCACCGGCAGCUACCCAGUCAUUGAGCCCCUGUUGAAGUACUUUCCCAACAUGUCCGUGGGCUUCACAGCGGUCCUGACAUACUCCUCUGCCUGGGAGGCCCGGGACUCUCUGAAACAGAUCCCGCUGGAGAGGAUCAUCGUGGAAACUGAUGCUCCCUAUUUCCUGCCUCGACAGGUUCCCAAGAGCCUUUGCCAGUACGCCCACCCAGGCCUGGCCUUGCACACGGUUCGAGAGAUUGCCAGGGUCAAAGACCUGCCACUCGCCCGCACCUUGGCCACCCUGCGUGAGAACACCUGCCGCCUCUACAGUCUUUAAGCAGAGAGGGUGCCGUCAGGAGUCUCCCAGAAAAGGAUGACCAGCGGCCUGACAGGAGAAAGGCCGUGUGAGCUCUGCCUGUGUGUCCCUGCUCGAGGAUGUUUGAGAGCCCGCUGGGAUGGAGGACACCCGGACAGGACGUUUCCUGAGACCUCGUCGGAGGCUUCCGCUUCAGGCUGGUUGGGGGUGGGGCCGGCGUGCGGGGGGCUGGCGAGGGGUUCGGGCUGGCCUCCCGGCUGCAGUGCUCCAGGGCAGCCUGGGAAGAAGAGGAGGCUGAUGUGAGGGCACAGCGAGCUUGCCCGCCCAGUGCCUGCCUCCGCAGCUUGUGGUGCGAGCAGUCUGUGAAUAAAGUCACACUGCUCCUCAGCUAAGUGCACGUAGGCGUGUAGCUUGGUUCCUGGUUCUCCACUGUCAACACGAACCCCCAGUGGGAGAUCUCCUCUGGGGGACAUUUGCCAGAGACCUGUGUUAGAGGCUGAUGCUCCUGCGGCCAGAGAAGGCAGCCCCUCCCUUCCCUGCGUGACUCUUCAGUCUGGCUCUCACUGUUGCUGCGUCAGCUCUGAGUUGGCACUGGUGGAAGGACCUUGGCUGCUGGUCUCACUGGUUCCACUGCCAUCAGUAUGGAGGGGCCAAAGGGGUGCUCAUGGUCCAGGGAAAGUCCUGGCCGAGGAACAUCUGGACAGACUGGGGGACUUGAGGAGGAGGAAGCCUGCUUGAGGAAGACGACCCCGAGGAAGGUGAUCCCACUUACCGAGGUCCCCAGGGCUGCAGCUCAGUUGUGUUAAACUGACAGGGUCCAGUCUGCAGCAGAUGCUGUCUGCUAGUCUGCUGUCGGGGUUCCAGCUGCCCUGUGCUCCACUCUGCCCCCUUCUCCUGGAGCACUGGACCAAAAAUACUUCUGUUUCAUCUCAUGUAACAGCCCCUUGUGUGCCCCAUCCAGGUCGAGAGGUAAACCAAUUUAAUUUUCCAAAGCUCUGCUGGCACUGCCCAGCCCUGUUCUAUUGCCUAUGCAGAACAAGAGGCCUGGUGUCCAUGGAUCUCCCGUUCCCCGUCCUGGGGCUCUCCCUUGCCUUGGCCUCUGCUGCGUCCUUUCUCCGUGGUGAAAGUGAGAGCCACUCCUUGGACUUUGAACAGCCAGGUCAUCUCAAGUUCUGAGCUGUGCUCUGCUCCCUGCUGGUGCCUUCUAAAGGUGUGUUCAUUACAGGCCCUGGAAGGUUAUGACGGUCAAGAGUUAAGAGUGAGGAUGCUCUGCAUUUGGGACAGAAGGAUCUUUUAUUCCAACCUUCCUCAGUGCGACAGGCCACUCUGAGUCCCUUGUCUGUUUCUUGGAGGCCAAUAGCUGAAAUCGUAAGAUCCAGUGCUUAUGUUGGAUGCCUCUAGGUGUUUGUGGAAGGUGCUUUUGAACCUCGUAACCUGCAAGGGAAUGGACUUUGCAUUUCAUAUAUGGUAUUUCCCUCUUGCCCCGGUACCUAAGUUGCUGGCCUGGGAAGUAGGCCUUAAUUCAGUGUCGACCUUCCAUGGAUCAGCUGUGUGUCAUCUGUGCCGCAGAUUUGGCAAAUCCGGGGCCUUGUUCUCCUGCUUGGAAGAUUUGGAGGACUAAGGAUUUCACAGUGCUUUGUUGUCACCCAAUGAACUGUCCCUUAUCCAUCUCUUUCACAGCAAGGCCUGUACAUCACAACUGCCUCCGAAGGAAACCAACCGGGCCUGUGUUCAAGGACUAAGAGUGAUAACUCAGUGGAUGUCUCUGAGCCAUUGCAGUCUCCCUGCCAAAGUAAAGCACAAGGUGCUAUAUACUUUUAUCUCCAGGAUUUAGGAUUAUCAUUUCUGUUGCACAGUGAAACAUUACCUGUGUGGGAGUGAAAGCUGGUUGGCAUUGUUUUUGGAUGGCUGACUUGAUUGUUUCUGCUGUGUUGCCGGAAUGCCUCUGUAUCUCUGCCCCCUCGCUCCCUUUGACCAUCUCUUUCUGAAAAUAAAGUGAUGGAUCUUCAGCCAACUCCCAUGGUCUCCAUGUUCGUUUAUAUUUCUCAGAGUGUUAACGAUGGUUUAGUUGUUGACUAGCUUUGUAACCUAAGAAUCCAAAGGUCUGGAGACUUUCAAAAAUGUACCUGUGCCUCAGCAAAAUUCAACUGGAAAGGGCUUCCCUGGUGGCGCAGUGGUUAAGAAUCCGCCUGCCAAUGCAGGAGACACGGGUUUGAACCCUGGUCUGGGAAGAUCCCACAUGCCACAGAGCAACUAAGCCCAUGCACCACAACUACUGAAGCCUUUGCUCUAGAGCCUGCAAGCCACAACUGCUGAGCCCGUGUGCCACAACUACUGAAGCCCGUGCACCUAGAGCCCGUGCUCUGCAACAAGAGAAGCCACCGCAAUGAGAAGCCUGUGCACCGCAACGAAGAGUAGCCCCCUCUCGCUGCAACUAGAGAGAAGCCUGCACGCAGCAACGAAGACCCAGUGCGGCCAAAAAUAAAUUAAAAAAAAAAAAAAAAAAGAUUUGCUAAAAAGAAAAUUCAACUGAAAAGAAGAAUCCCUGGUACCUUCUUAAAAGUUCUGCCUUUGAGCAUUAACUCUCAUUUUACUGCCUGGAAACACCCAGAUACACUGCUGCUUCUUAGCAGUGAAAAAUACAUAGACACCUUUGUUCCAGAGCAACGCAGUAGGAGGAAGAAAAAUUGAGUACACGAGGGUGUUGUUGAUGACUCGGUUGUACUGUGGGCUUUGGACUGUGAACUCUGAUGCUGCUGGGUAAACUUUGGAGGAAAUUCUGUUUCACUGCUUGCAGUCAGUCUUCCAGUUUUGUCCUAAGGUAUCCUUGAACACAAGUAAGUGCUCAAGCCCAAAGUAAACCCGUCAAAAGGGAGGCUCUGUUCCAAGAAUGGUAAAGAAAUUUGGAAUCUGUUGAUGCCUCAUGUCAGAUGCACAGUCAUUGGUUUGCCUAUUUCCAGCACAUUACUCACUGUCUCAGCUCUGUCCCAGCUGGACAUAUGGCAGCUAUGUCCACUGGACACAGUGAUAGUCUCUUUGUGGCUGGAAAUCUGCUCUUGGCUUUUCUCGUGUUUUACAUCUCUCUGUAUUAAGUUUGGGACCAAUAGUAAUCAUUUACCGUGAACACUUUCAUUUUUGCCUCAGGCAUUUCUGUAAGAUCAGGGCAAAGGGCCACUGAAGUGUACGGUGCUUGAAUAAAGUGUCCAGGAUGGCAGCAGAACUGUCAGUCAGUGGCCAGGCAGCCCUGUGCUCCCUGAAAAUGCUCAUUUGUCGAUGAUGUUUGGAAGUGGAUUCAGACUAAAGGAAGGUAGCCAAGCAUGGAUCUCUAUUAUUCUGUCUGUACACCGUCGUAAGAGAAUUUCUUACCCCUCUGUAAGUGUGUAAGAUGUUAAACACGGGCUUCCCUGGUGGCACAGUGGUUAAGAAUCCGCCUGCCAAUGCAGGGGACAUGGGUUUGAUCCCUGGCCUGGGAAGAUACCAUAUGCCACGGAGCAACUAAGCCCGUGCUCCACAACUAAUGAGCCUGCAAGCCACAACUAUGGAGCCCGAGUGCCACAACUGCUGAAGCCUGUGUGCCUAGAGCCCGUGCUCUGCAACAAGAGAAGCCACGACAAUGAGAAGCCCUCGCACAGCAACGAAGAGUAGACCCCGCUCGCCACAACUAGAGAAAGCCCACGCACAGCAACGAAGACCCAACACAGCCAAAAAUUAAAACAAAUAAAUUAAUUAAACAAAAGUUAAAUACAUGAGCUGUUAUACUAAUGUACUGGGUAUAUUAUAAAAUAAAGUUUUUUAUAAGGAGGGUUUUUUUUUCCUGCAGCAAAUAUCUUUCUCAGCCCAGGGGUAUAUACAGCUGCUUCAGAGAACCGGAAGUUAGUGGUAUUGGGAAGUGGCACGUGCAGGAACAGGUCCAAGAAGGCCGACGUGGGACCAGGUUUGAAAUGCUACGUUUUCUCAAGUGACGGAGGUGGUGUGUUGUAAUGGGGGGAGCGCUGGCCUCAGAAUAUGGACCGUGUGAUUUGGGCACAUCCUCUAAAAGCUGGGGGCCCUGGAACCAAUCCCCCGCAGGCGGACUCACAUUGGGACUCCGAGGAAACUGGAGAAAGGACUUACCGCUGGCGUCUUCCCAAAGGACGUCCUGAAGAAACUUCCCCAGGGUCUGGCCGUGCUGGUGGGACUGAGCCCCUGACAGCUUGAUCCCAACGUCAAAGGGGGCGCUGAACUAGGAGGACCCAGGAGUUGUCAGAGGUCACACCCUCCCUAAAUGCUCAUUUCGCCUCCACCCCUGUGGCUCAUGCGGGUGGUUGGAUGACCCCAGCCGACUUCGCAGCACCACGAGCACCAAGCUGGGGACCUGCUGGGCUGGUUUGCACCCUGGAACUGGCGACGGGCAACUGACGGGAGGUGCAGCAGCUGUUGGAUAGGGGUGCGGCUUUGAGCGACUUGAAAAGGUGCCUUAGUGUCUCAUGUGAUCAGAACUUGGCCUCGAAAGCUUCCAGCUCUGAAACUUGAUUGAUUUCAGGAAAACUUUUGGAGGGGCUGUAGGGGCCUGGGAUGAGUGAGGUGGGACCCCGGCCCUGGAGGGGUUCGGUGGGCACAGCCAGAGCUCUGCGGCCUGUGUCACAGGCCUCCCACCUGCCUCUGGCGUCUCACCACCUCCGACAUUUCAGACUCCUGGUUCUAGCGGAGGCAGGGCCUGCCGUUUGCUCUGUGGAAACUGGAAACGUCCAGCCGUGAGUCAUCAGCCACUGGAACCUCUUCCCCGCCUGGGCUAACUUAGGGCGUCUCUGGCCCCGCUGGACCUGGCAGUCUCACCGGGAAAGUUCCCUGGUUUUAGUCUAAGGAUUUGCAGGCUGAUGAGUGGGAACGUGGCGGGUGGGGUCCCACACGUGGUGGAGGAGGCGCCUGGCGAGGGUCAGAGGGCGAGGGUUGGGGAUUUGACCCCUGAGGGGAGGAGAGGCUGGGGGUAGGUGGAGGGAGGCCAAGGCAGGGCAGAGGAGACUUCCUGGGCCACCUGCUCGCUCUCUGCCAGACCGGUGAUGGGGACACAGGGCUUGGGGACUGGAGCUCCCCAGACUGUGGGUCCCACUUCUUCCCCAUGCAGGGCUCUGGCCCCUCAGCCCAGUGAGCUCCCUGGGCUGAGCCUCGGUUCCUCACCUCUAAAUGAGGGCACAGAAACCAGCCCCACUGACUUCACAGGCGGUUGUAGAGGUUAAGUGCGAAGCAGGAGGGUAAAGCAGCCGGAGAGUGAGACCGCAGUCACUAGCAGUAGUUACUAGGCACCACCCGGGGAUUCUGGUUUCCCUGCGUGCGGGGAUCUGUCCUCACCUAAACUCUUGUCAGAACCAUUCCCCGGACCGCGGCUGCCUGGCAGGGGUAACUAUAAAACGCCUUCACGCUUUCUCUCUCCUAGUCCUCCGUUUGUCUCUAAACGGCUCCCCUACCCCGUGAACUAUUCAUCAAAGCUCAAGCAAGCCUGAUGAGCCCCAUCCUCGUCUACAGGUGGGGUUUGGUGAGAGCUGGGCUCACCGCUCACCUGUCCAGGCCGCCGCCUGGUAAGAUUGGGUAAGGUAAGGUCCGAGGGGCCCCUGAGUCGAUCAGAAAGUUUUCUGCAGGAAACGCCUCCAGUCUGUGACCAGCUCUUCCUUCCUGAGUGUCUGUUUGCUGGCUCCCCUCUGAGAUCACCUGGCAUCUGCUGGCGCCCCCUCUCCCCUCUGCUUGAGGCUCAUCCUAAUACAGCAAAGUUGCUUAGAUGUUUGCCUGUUGAUCGGCAAAGCCCAUCUCAACAGAGCCCAGUGGUGCAGAGUCCACUGUUUUUGUGCUGUUUAAUGUUCCUUGAGUGGCUGGUAAGUGAGUCCCUGUGGAUGGCCGCCUCUCCACGGCCUCCCCUGCCCCAUCCCCUCCACUGCAGAAAGCAUAAAGCUGCAGAGGGACCCACCUGGAUUUCCAGCUCGUCCCCUGUGCCUUCCGCCUGACUUCUGACGUCUGCGUCAAGCCAGCCUUCCAGGGCCCGGGGCUUUGGUUUGGCUGACGGCUUCUUAGAUUCCUUUCUCUGCUGGAAAGAGGAGGUGUUCUCCUUAGGGCCCUAAGCCUCCCUGUCCUUCCAGAAGCAGAGUGAGGUGUGGGCCCAUGGUCAGACCCAGAGUCCUCCUUUGUGCUCUGGGAGAAGAAGGCUGAAGCGCAGAGAGGGUGAGCCACUGCCCAGCUCACGCAGCUCACGGCAGGGCUGCAGUGAGAUUCCCCAGUCAGAGCGCAGGCCUCGUGGGGGGACGUCUCACCUGCACUUUCUGGUGUUCGGGGCUCAGGAAGCUGGAGCCCGCCAUGGCCAAGUCCACCCAGAGCACACUGAAGAGCAGCAGGCUGCAGACGGUCCCUGGGGAGGGCAUGGCCUCGGCCGGCUGGGGACAGAUGGGCCUGGCGGAGAGAGCAUCUCUGGGCAGCAUGCGCCCCCAUUCCAUCCCCUCUUUUCCCCCCGCUUCCCUCCCUGUGCCUCUGAGCCCAGCAGACAGGCUGAAGGGCUCUGACCUGGACCUGGGGCCAUGAUUGCUGAGUAGAGCGCCUCUUAGCGCCCUCUCUGCCCGCCUCCCCCAGGCCCCGAGGACCUUGUGCCAAGUUUCUCGAGGAUGUUUGAGGAAGCUGAAUUGGCAAGGUCCCAGGGGACAUGGGGGCCCUGGGGUGGCUCCCAAGCCCAGCUCUGAGCAACCAGGCUGCCCCAGGUCAUGCCACCUCCCCGAGUUCAGAUGGGCCUGCGGAUGCCCGGCAGUGGAGCCAGGUUCUGAGAGGGAGCAGAGUGCCCUGGGGGCAGGAGAGCCGGGACCUGGUGCUGCCACAGCCUUUGCCACGUCAGAUGUUCGCGGACGAAGAGCGCAUCAACCACGUGGGGGAUUCCUUACGUGCCCGCAGCGGCUCAUCCCACAGGAUGCCCAGGUGGUGACUCCUAAGGGCUUGGGUCCUAUUUUUUCUGCUACUGAAAGAGGAGUGUUGAGAUCUCCAGCUGGAAUUGUAACUGGCUUCAGUUCUGACUCGACCCAGUGCUCUUUGUAUCGUGAGGCUGUUGCACUCUGGUUUUUGGGAACGUGAACUACUCGCCCUCUGUUGAGUUCCAGGAAUUGCUUGGCCCACUGCUCUUUGGUCACGAGAGUUUCACCCUUCCCGUAAGCAGGGAUUCUGCUGCUGAAAAAUGGACAAAGAACAGGCAGAAGAGGGGUUCACACUUAGCUGUGCACAGAACCUCCUGCAGUGAGCGGCGUGACCUUUCAUUGGUGUGUGCGCACAUAAAGGCCUGGCGAGAGCUCCACUCCUCAAUUACGGCUGAGGAGCCCCAGCAGCAGGUCGCGGAUUCCAGCCUUGAGAGUUCUGAGCUGAGACAGAUCAGGAUGCCAAUGGUGGCUUUAGCACCUGGUGGUGGACGGCCCAGGGCAGCUCUUGACCUUCUUGCCAGUUUCCUCACCAGUCUCAGCUACUGCCAUGACCUGCUGUUUCAGUUCUGGGUCCCAGGGCCUCCCCUUGGAUGUGAUCCUUGUUUCAGUGUCGGUGAGCUGCUCCUUCCACUGACUGGGCAGAAAACCAGGUGAAUUGUGCCUGCUUUCCUCUUCAGUCUUGUAAACUCUUGGGAUAUGGUUGAUACUCCCCUGUAUGUGCAGGGCAGACUUUAUUAGCCUCAGGAUAAGUAGCAGAGCUGGGGGCUGCGGUCCCAUCCCUGAAGGCCAAGUGUAGCUUUGUAUGGUGCCUUCAGCAUAGACUGAGUCACAAGGACUUACAGAGUGACAGAUCAGCUCUGUGGGCAGGACUCAGCUAGGCCCAUAGGUACCUGGGUCUUGGUAAUGCUGUUCUAGGACACUAACCAGCAAGAGGUAAAACGAGCUUUGUAAGGAGGGGUUAGAAGAAUGCAGGAAGAAUUAUAAGCAAUACAAGUUUAUUUAAUUACUUUGGAAACAAUUCCCCACCCCCCCAAAUGAUGUCUGAACCUAAAAGGUACAUAAAAAUGACCAACAAUAUCUUAAAAUGAUAGAGCUGACGCUUGUUUUUCCCUCAGAACAAGUGUGUGUUCAGGUGGACAGUAAAUUACAAACCAUAUCAAAUCAUGUUAAGGCAGAUGAUAAUCUGGGUGCAUUUCUUAACGACUCCCAGGAAAGUGAUCUUGUGGGAGCUGGGUGUUCUUCCUCCCAGCUGUGUGGUCAGUUGGCCCACGAAGGGGCAGUCCUGGAGGCAGCAGGGUAGAGAGCAGGCUGUGCCUGUCUUGUCACUGCUCGUUCUGCUGACCCUCUGUGACUGAAGUGGACACAGAACCCUGGCCCUUGUUGACAUCACUGAUGCACACCCACUGCCCGUCAACCGACUCCUUCCACAGGGUCACCUGCAAGCCAGCACACACAUCGUUACAGGUAUGUAUCCCUGCCCUUACCUCCCUGGGUUCUCUAAAGAGGGCAAAGAUCUCCAGCAAGAACUACAGCUCACAGUCUUGUGGGUAAAGAGAGCACUUACUUUGGUUCCCCCCACUGAAAUCCCACCAAAAUGGAAGUAAAGGAAAAAGUAUCCACACAGAGUAAGAAAGGAGGAGUAUGGAGAGUGAUGUCAUAAAGAUGGUGACACAACUUGUUCACAGCUUCUUUCCCUCAAAAGAAGAACUAACAGCUAUUCAUAGAGACACAGCACUGAACAAAUCCUACAACACAGCAGUGAGGCUGAAGUGUCCUGCACUAUGGACACUGAGACCGACUCUGUUUGAAGGAUCGCAGCUGAAUCUGUGAGGCCCAGCUGCUGAGAAUCGGAUUGUGACCAGAGGGCUUCCAACAACCAGCACUCAGAUCUCCACAGCCUGAGUCCCUACCUGCAGGGCCCAAGUGAGUCUGUUCUGACAGGGAAGCUGGGGCACAGGUAGGCUACAGUCCAGACCACAAACAAAGCAUUAGUAACCUUAAAACUGCUUCCCUGGAAAGCACACCAGUCCACAGCUGCACUUGCUAUUGAAUACAGCCUUUGGACUGCCCAACCAGUGAAGCCACAUAGCUGGUCAACAACCCUGCUUAAGGUAACACGGGAAUAGAAAGCACUGCCAGUGGCAUUCACUGUCUGCAUAGCAAAUCUGGUGGCCUCACCUGAUGAGGAAUUCAGUGCACACUCUUGACUCUUCAGCUCCCCCUCAAAAUAAGCCAGGCAUUCUCUGAUCCCAUUCUGCUGGGUACUGCCAGGGCAAGGAAGGUAAUUCCAGCCUCACCUACUGCUGAGUCAAGUAGCCAUCCUGACUGUCUAGCAAGCCUGACCAGAGAAUCCAGGCAGCUGUGAAGCCGAUGCUCCAGCCUCACGGGUGCAGGGAAAGAAACCAGCUGUCCUACUACCUGAUCUCAGCCAGUGGCAUAUUCAGAGUGGAAAAAAGUGCCUCAAGCCAAAACAGAACUUAAUAGCAGGUCCUUUCACCCAUAGGAGAGAAAGCCAGAAACCCAAAUUGAGCUGACUAGUGAAGAACUGUAUCUGCACACUUCCAGAGGUACAAUGAAUUCUUCGAAAAAGAAUUCAAAACAGGGCCCACUGUCAAGAAGCCCACUUCCAAUCUCUUGCAUGCCUAUAAACUAACAAUGAAAAAUCAGAGAAAUUAAGCAAAGACUCCCAUUUACCACUCAAACAAAAAGAAUAAAAUACCCAGGAAUAAACCUACCUAAGGAGGCAACAGACCUGUAUGCAGAAAACUAUAAAAGACACUGAUGAAAGAAAUUAAAGAUGAUGAUACAAACAGAUGGAGAGAGAUACCAUGUUCUUGGAUUGGAAGAAUCAACAUUGUAAAAAUGACUAUACUACACAAUCUACAGAUUCAAUGCAAUCCCUAUGAAACUACCAAUGGCAUUUUUCACAGAACUAGAACAAAAAACUUUACAAUUUGUAUGGAAACACAAAACACUCUGAAUAGCCAAAGCAAUCUUAAGAAAAACAGCUGGAGGAAUCAGGCUCCCCAACUUCAAAGUAUACUACAAAGCUACAGUAAGCAAGAGAGUAUGGUACUGGUACAAAAACAGAAAUAUAGAUCAACUGUACAGGAUAGAAAGCCCAGAGAUAAACCCACGCACCUAUGGUCAGCUAAUGUAUGACAAAGGAGGCAAAGGAUGUACAAUGGGGAAAAGACAGUCUCUUCAAUAAGUGGGCUGGGAAAACUGGACAGCUAUAUGUAAAAGAAGGAAAUUAGAACACUUCCUAACACCAUACACAAAAAGAAACUCAAAAUGGAUUAAAGACCUAAAUGUAAGGCCAAACACUAUCAAACUCUUAGAGGAAAACAAGGCAGAACACUCUAUGACAUAAAUCACAGCAAGAUCCUUUCUGACCCACCUCCUAGAGUAAUGGAAAUAAAAACAAACAAUGGGACCUAAUGAAACUUAAGACUUUGCACAGCAAAUCAAACCAUAAACAAGACGAAAAGACAACCCUCAGAAUGGGAGAAAAUAUUUGCAAAUGAAACAGACAAAAGAUUAAUCUCCAAAAUAUACAUGCAGCUCAAGAUCAAGAAAACAACCUAAUCCAAAUAUGGGUGGAAAAGCUAAAUACACAUUUUCCCAA